rnacentral:rRNA from 1 species
UACGAAGGGUGCAAACGUUGCUCGGAAUUAUUGGGCGUAAAGAGCUCGUAGGUGGCGUGUCGCGUCUGCCGUGAAAGCCCAUGGCUUAACUGUGGGUCUGCGGUGGAUACGGGCAGGCUGGAGGCUGGUAGGGGCAAGCGGAAUUCCUGGUGUAGCGGUGAAAUGCGCAGAUAUCAGGAGGAACACCGGUGGCGAAGGCGGCUUGCUGGGCCAGUUCUGACGCUGAGGAGCGAAAGCGUGGGGAGCGAACAGG